GACGAACGCUGGCGGCGUGCUUAACACAUGCAAGUCGAACGAUGAAGCCCAGCUUGCUGGGUGGAAGAGUGGCGAACGGGUGAGUAACACGUGAGUAACCUGCCCGUGACUCUGGGAUAAGCGCUAGAAAUGGCGGCUAAUACUGGAUAUGACCUAUUACCGCAUGGUGUGUAGGUGGUAAGAUUUAUCGGUUGGGGAUGGACUCGCGGCCUAUCAGCUUGUUGGUGUGGUAAUGGCACACCAAGGCGAAGACGGGUAGCCGGCCUGAGAGGGUGACCGGCCACACUGGGACUGAGACACGGCCCAGACUCCUACGGGAGGCAGCAGUGGGGAAUAUUGCACAAUGGGCGCAAGCCUGAUGCAGCAACGCCGCGUGAGGGAUGACGGCCUUCGGGUUGUAAACCUCUUUUAGUAGGGAAGAAGCGCAAGUGACGGUACCUGCAGAAAAAGCACCGGCUAACUACGUGCCAGCCGCCGCGGUAA
rnacentral:rRNA from 1 species